UACAGAGGUCUCAAGCGUUGUUCGGAUUCAUUGGGCGUAAAGAGCUCGUAGGCGGCCUGUCGCGUCGGAUGUGAAAGCCCGGGGCUUAACCCCGGGUCUGCAUUCGAUACGGGCAGGCUAGAGUGUGGUAGGGGAGAUCGGAAUUCCUGGUGUAGCGGUGAAAUGCGCAGAUAUCAGGAGGAACACCGGUGGCGAAGGCGGAUCUCUGGGCCAUUACUGACGCUGAGGAGCGAAAGCGUGGGGAGCGAACAGG
rnacentral:rRNA from 1 species